AUUAGCUCAGUGGUUAGAGCGUUGGUCUUAUGAGCCAAAGGUUUCGCGGGUUCGAUCCCCGCAU
rnacentral:tRNA from 1 species